CUGCUGCUGUUGUUGUUGUUGUUGUUGACAGGCGGAGGAGUCCCGCUGCUUACUGCUAGCUAACCCACCGUGAACGUUAGCUGUUUGUGUUCAUGGUCUCCGGACAGAAGAGUUCAAAGAGCUCGGUGCCCUUUGGCGUUUCAUGUGGGACAGUGAGUGGACAGAGACGGGAGGAGACGGGAGGAGACAGUGUGCUGUCAGUCACUCUCCGCUGGUUCAGGCAAAUUACACUCGUGACGUCACGCCGUACCAUAAACAAUCCGAGCUCACGAGAGCAUCCAUUUCACUGCUUCAUUAGCGAGAGUUUUUAUUUGUUUCAACUAAAAAACAUUUCCUGACCCACCCGCUGUAAACAGAGGAUACAUAAUGUGUUGGUUUUAUUAAGGAAUCUUUUUUCUUGCUUCUCUUUGCCUGGUGGAAACAAAGAUGAUGUCAUGAUGGUCACAAGUUAUUCUAAUAAAGCUCCUAAAAAUCUAUAAACUUAGACAAAUGAUUAAAUAAGAGUCAUCUGUCUCCCUCAAGUGGACAUCCACUAUAGGACAGUGAAUUAAUAACUGGUUAACACAAGAAUAAUUAAGCUCCCUCAGCAACAGGUGGCACCACCUCCUCUGCUGAUGGAGCAGAGUGGCAGGAGUGGCAGUGCUUGGCCUCAUGUACAGGAGCCUCUGUUGUAGACUCUGGUUCAGAAGCUGAAAGGACCUCCAGGUCUGACCCAGAGGAGGCCGCUGCCAGCUGAAUCGUGUCCACAACUGCUGCAGCUUCCCCGUCUGUUUCCACAGCUUCUACCUUCUCCUCUGCCGGAGCUUCGGCAGCUGUCUCCUCCACUGAUGUCUCAGCAGGAGCCGUUGCUUCAGCAGUGGUGGUGGCCUCCUCUGGAGCAGCUCCAGUCUGAUCUUCAGCCUCAUCCUCACCCACCUCCUCCACUGUUGGAGCUGAAGUCGUAGGUUCCUCAGGAAGUGCUGCCUCCUCCUCCUCCCCUUCCUCCACUGUUGCUGCUACAGGAGCAGAUGUCUCCUCUUCAGCAGGUGGAGCUCCUGCAUCUUCUGCAUCAACCUCUGCAGACUUCAGCUCCUCCUCGUUCACUACAACAGUCGGCUCUUCAGUCACUUCUUUAGCCACCACCUCUGUGGUUGCUUCCAGGACUUCUGGCUCCACCACCUCCAGUGAGGAGUCCAAACCUUUUCCAUCUUCCUCUAUUUUCCGGACAGCUUCCACCAGACUUGUCUCACCAACAGAGGCUGCUGCAAUCUCAACUGUGGAGCCGGUCAAAAUCUUCACAGCUGUUAGCAGGUCUGGCAUAGAUUCUGAAGGACAGAAGGAGGACAGGAAGUAGUGGCUUAGAGAAAUUUGAAAUAUAUUACAGAUAAAAGUUUGCACAUUGCAGCAGCAGUAUAAAGGAGCUCCAUGUGCAACAACCAUAACUGUGCAUUUGAGUUCUGAAACAAUUUCAGUCAAUUGAUUCUUUGAAAGACUAAUUAGUUUAAGUUAGUUAAUCAAACAAAAAUGCCAAAUAUUUUCUUGUUCCAUCCAGCUUUUGAGAUGUGAGGAUUUGCUGAUUUUCUUUUAAAUCAAGUUGAAUCUUUGGGUUUUUGACAGUUUGAACACUUCACACUGUUGAAAACUUGUCAUUUUUGACAUUUCAUGCACUGCACAAUUAAUUGCUCAAAACAAAUAAUUGACAAGUUGACCAAUAAUAAAAAUAAAGGUGUUACAGUACUGGUGAAUUCCCUCACAUAAAACCUGGAUUACAUGUUAACUAUUUUCUAAUUUACCUUUACAUACGAGGCAUGUGCAGCUCUUCAGAAAUUUAUUAGAUUUAUAUAAGAUUUAUUCUAGUAUAUAGUGGUUUGCUGUGUGGUUUUGUAUAAACUGAACUUACCUUGAGGGGGUGUCUAUCACGGAAAGGUCUACAGUCAGCUCAGGUUCAGGAAAUACUGUACAGGAGACAACUUGCCCCAGUUCAUGCUCCUUCUGCUGGUGUAACUUUAGAAAACGGUGUGAAACAUGGCUCUUGAAAAACUUCCUACUGUGGGUAGAGUAUAGUAGAAUAUGUGGUGAGCCCUCUUAACACUGUUGGAGAGAAUAGGCCUUUUUCACAGCAGCAUGAAAACAUGCAACAGUAGGGUAAACACAGGUGAUGAUACUGAUUAAGGAUCUGUUCCAUUCAGGUCAAACAGAGUCAGGGUGCUGCUAUCGUGCAUGUUGGCAGAACAGAACCUUAAUUAGUAUUAUUAGUAACACCUGUUUACCAUUUUUUGUUUGAAUGGCUACUAUGAAAAAGGUCUAUUGUUUGACAUCUUUAAGAUUUAAUACAAAAGCUUUAAGUAAUGUUUAGACGUGGAUACAGCCUCGAUGGACAUUCUUAGAAAGACAAUUUUCAAAAAAUGUUGUUGCGUGGCAUUUAUGUGUUAGACAGUAACAUCCCUGGGUUGCCACCAACAAUGAGCCAACCCAUGAGCCAACCCAUGAGCCUGUAAACACCCCAUUCUGGCGAGCCACCAGGACACCCUAAAACAAGCAUUGUAAUCUAGGAUUAGUUUUAACUAGUCUGCGAGACUGCUUCAAACUGGACCUGUUACAAUUAAAGGCCAAUAUACAUUUUUGCAUUUUAGAGUGCUGCCUGCAGUUCCCUUCUACGUGGUGUGCAACAUUAUGACUAGGUUUAUGCAGAUCAGUAUUUUACAUACACCUAGAAGAGGAUAGGUGAGUAGAUUUUUAUGUUGUAUGAUUGCUUAUGUUUCAGUUAAAUCUCACCACAUUUAUGCCAGAGUGGUAAUGUGGUCAUCAUAACGAGAAACAAGCAGUAUCUUUAAGAACGCAGUAUUGAGAACAAAAACAGUCUUCAGAUGGUUGUUUCAAUCUUCAUCUUGAGAGCGCAGGAGCAUGAACGUGGCACAGGGAUUCUCCAGGAAAGGGAGAAUUUCUACAGGAAGUGGGUGUUUCUACAUCUACAAAAAACAUUUACUGUGUCACAUUCUACAUUCAAAACAAGCAGCUAAGAGUCGCUGAAUAAACUCACGGCCCGGACAGAUUAGACAACCUACUCUGAAACAGUUAUUCUAUAACCUGCAGAAUUUGAUAAAUGCAAACACUGGAAAAAAUAUAAAAGUUUUAAUCUUAUAUACAGUACUUUAAAAAAAAAAAAGCAAAACGUCAUCUUUAUAAUCGAUCCAGUGAGGUUUUAUUCUUUGAACACUUAACUGUAUUAAUCAUAAUGACAACUUCUCAGAGACAGAGGUGAAUGAAUUGUCACAUUUAAAAUGUAAAGACAGAGCAGAAGUGAGUUUAACACUACAAAGUCUUGUACAUGGCUGGAGUGGGCGCAGGCUGCUGUAGAUGUAAGUAGAGAGGUUGUAAUAAUGAAAAUAAAACUGAAUGUGCAAGAAAAGAAAAAAAAGAAUAUGGGUUGUUAUGAGUAGAAAAGAAGAAAGAA